UUUAAAGAAUGGCUUUUUGAGUUCUCUACACAUUUCAGGUUAGCUUUUAUGUCAAUAUUUGCCCAAAUUUCUUCCAGUUCUCUUCCUGACUCCCGAAUUUCACAACUGAAAUUCAUGGCUGAUGUCCUCACUAUUCUAUCUAAUUCUCUCCCCAAUUUCACGGCUGAUGUGAAGGUUUUUCAGUUGCCAUCCUUACAUAACUGCAAUCUUAUUUUUAAUAGCUGCAGAUUUAUUCUCCAGAUUAUGUGCCCUCCCCUCGGCUAGAUUCGCCUGUGUAGCCGGUGAGAUUGCCAUUUUUUCUUCUUCUUCUUUGUUCAUUUCAUUGUUUCGGUUAUUAUUAUUUUAUAUUCUUGGUGACUAUUUGUUGUAUUGUUUUAUAUGGGUCAUUUAUAUAAAACAAGAUUGUUUUCUGGCAGCUCAAAAUGUUAAGAUGUCGUUCUCGAAAAAAUUCUCAGUUUGAGUUCAAUCCUAUUUUAUUUUAUUUUAUGAGUAUUUGUUCUUAUAAUUCUAUCUGGCUCCACUUAGGUUAAACAAUUUGGCAGCUCAAAUAUUGGGGGGAAUUCAAUUCUUAAAGAAUGCAAAUUCCUCUUUAUUAUUGUUACCAUAGUCAAAAGGAGUGAAAAUUCCUCUCUCUUUUUUCCAGUAUAGAUAAUGAAAGUUUAUGUGGAUUUAUUUCGUGAAGGAAGAGUAUUGUUGUAGCUCGGGUAGUGGAAGAUUCAGUUUUUAAGUGUGCAAUUUUUAUCUUGCUUCUGCUUUUAGUUGUCACAUGCAAGAUCAUAGGUUUUUGUGCUCGACCGUAUACAAUUUUACUAUGUGUUUAACUGUGUGUGAUGACAUGUAGUAGAAUUGUGGAGUCGCCGUUCCUAUAGUAAUGGAAGUUGUCAAAGUCUAACUUUAUAUCCAAAUGAAAGAGGAAAAGAAUUGCUAUUUCUGGUUUGACAUGAAAGCAGAGUAUUGAAUAAGCCAAUGAAUUUGCGAAUGACUAUGCUUGGUUGCAUGCACCAAAUGAUUAUUUUCUUGGAUAAUAUAUGUGUAUUAACCAUGAUGUAUCCAUAAGUUUAAGUUUAUUGUUAAAAAACUUAAUGUGUUUUUUUCCGUGUUGUUUGUUUUUAUUCAGAUCUAAAGAAGUCUUAAAUUCCAAAGUUUAAUGUUAAAAUGGAGAUAGCUAAUUCCUUUUCUUUUAAGGUGUUUUAGAAGUUAUGCCUUGUGAGUUUCAUCUACUCUAUUAUUCAUUACUUUGAAAACACUUGAUUAUUGAUUUGCACCUUUACUACAUAUUUGGGGGCAAAAAGAAACUGAGGAAAUUUUUUCGCUUGCAAUAUCUUAAGUAGGAGGAACGGAUUUUUAAAGAACAAACAAGGGAAGAAUAGGAAAGAAUCCACCAAAAAAAAUCACAAAUAAUCCAAAAUAGAAAGACAACUUCCAGGAUAUCACUAAAGGUUUUCUUGCACCGGAUAAAAUUGCUUGCAAAUAUAAAGAUAUUCAUGAAGCAGAAGCAUUCUCAGUAAUAAGAGGCAAUUGUACUUGUUUUUCUUUAUUAUAUAAACUAUUUUAGCAUAAUUGAGGGUUUGUAUGUUUAUUCAGAGCAGAUCAACAGUGGGUUGAAUAGAAACCUGUGAACUUAAGACUUAAAUGUGUAGCCUAACUACAUGUGGACUUUGCUAUUAAAGGUUCUAAGAUAUUACAAGUCUUGUUUUGAUUACCUGCUUUCUGAGAUGACCAAGAAGGUAAGGUUAAUCAUCCUGACUCGGAGAGAAUAACUAUUCAUGAUAAAUGGAUAAUUUCCAGUAAAAGUAUCGUGAUUCGAGGCGUUUGGAGGCCAAUUCACAAGGCAAAGGCAUAGCAGAGUAAAGAAUUACACGGUUUGAGAUCCAGGUGCUCCCGAAUACGGCGGCUGCUAGAUUUCGAAGUUAAUUUUGUUGGGAACUAUCAAGGUAGCUGCUUGACGUCUGCACACUCGAUUCCUUUCCUGUUUAAUUAUUGUACUGUUAUAUAUUUUCAGACAAUAAUUUUUAUCCGUCAGACUUUGUAUUCAUAUUAGAUGCUCAUGUACUCAGUGACACCAGGUUUUGGGAGUGUUUA